CCUACGGGGUGCAGCAGUGGGGAAUAUUGGGCAAUGGGCGCAAGCCUGACCCAGCAACGCCGCGUGAAGGAAGAAGGCUUUCGGGUUGUAAACUUCUUUUGUCAGGGACGAAGCAAGUGACGGUACCUGACGAAUAAGCCACGGCUAACGACGGGCCAGCAGCCGCGGUAAUACGUAGGUGGCAAGCGUUAUCCGGAUUUACUGGGUGUAAAGUGCGUGUAGGGGGGACUGCAAGUCAGAUGCGAAAACCACGGGCGCAACCUUUGGCCUGCAUUUGAAACUGUAGUUCUUGAGUACUGGAGAGGCAGACGGAAUUCCUAGUGUAGCGGUGAAAUGCGUAGAUAUUAGGAGGAACACCAGUGGCGAAGGCGGUCUGCUGGACAGCAACUGACGCUGAGGCGCGAAAGCGUGGGGAGCAAACAGGAUUAGAUACCCGGGUAGUC
rnacentral:rRNA from 1 species